rnacentral:rRNA from 1 species
CUGAGAGGAUGACCAGCCACACUGGAACUGAGACACGGUCCAGACUCCUACGGGAGGCAGCAGUGGGGAAUAUUGCACAAUGGGCGCAAGCCUGAUGCAGCCAUGCCGCGUGUAUGAAGAAGGCCUUCGGGUUGUAAAGUACUUUCAGCGGGGAGGAAGGGAGUAAAGUUAAUACCUUUGCUCAUUGACGUUACCCGCAGAAGAAGCACCGGCUAACUCCGUGCCAGCAGCCGCGGUAAUACGGAGGGUGCAAGCGUUAAUCGGAAUUACUGGGCGUAAAGCGCACGCAGGCGGUUUGUUAAGUCAGAUGUGAAAUCCCCGGGCUCAACCUGGGAACUGCAUCUGAUACUGGCAAGCUUGAGUCUCGUAGAGGGGGGUAGAAUUCCAGGUGUAGCGGUGAAAUGCGUAGAGAUCUG